ACGCGAAGGAAGGUAACCCGGGCUCGAACGGCAGAGGAACAUCCAGAGAUGGUGCGGCCCUUCGGGCUUCUGUCGAGGUGCUGCAUGGUUGUCGUCAGCUCGUGCCGUGAGUGUCGGCUCAAGUGCCAUAACGAGCGCAACCCUUGCCGUCAGUUACCAUCAAGUAGUGUUGGGGACUCUGGCGGGACUGCCACCGCAAGGUGUGAGGAAGGGGGGGAUGACGUCAAAUCAGCACGGCCCUUACGUCCGGGGCGACACACGUGUUACAAUGGCGGCCACAGAGGGGCACUACCUGGCGACAGGAUGGGAAUCUCGAAAAGCCGUCUCAGUCCGGAUCGGAGUCUGCAACCCGACUCCGUGAAGCUGGAUUCGCUAGUAAUCGCGCAUCAGCCAUGGCGCGGUGAAUACGUUCCCGGGCCUUGUACACACCGCCCGUCAAGCCAUGAAAGUCUGGGGCGCCUGAAGUCCGUGACCGAGAGGAGCGGCCUAGGGCGAAACAGGUAAUUGGGGCU
rnacentral:rRNA from 1 species